CCCGGAAUUAAGAAAUGGAUUAGCAAAACCCUAACUAGAUAAUUAUGUAUAAUUGAGGAAAUUAUAUUAUUAUAUAAUUUAAUAUAUGUGAAAUUAUAUGAAUUUUAUUAUGUUAAGACCCCGUUGGUGAGCCAGGGGCAUUUUAGUAAUUAUGACCCGAGAAGGGUAAAAUUAUGAAAUUAAUUUGAUUACGUGCUUAAUGGAACUAUAUUAUUAUAUAGUAUACCUGUGUUGUCUUUUCAGGUGUGUUCUGACAGGUUAGCGCGGUAUAGUCACAACCGGGAAUUUCGGGCCGAACCGGGUUCGGGCCCGAAAUGUAAAUUGGAUUGAUAAUUUGGCAUUUUAUUUGAUGAAUGAUAAUCUGAAAUUUAUUUGAAAUUAAUUGAGUAUUGAAAUGACUUAUUUACCCUUGUGAGGGUGUAGGUGUGAAUAAUAAGCCAUGAGGGCAUUUUGGUCAUUUGACCCCUAUUUACUAUGUUUGAUUAAAAUUGAUUUUUAAUGAAAUGAAAUGCAAAAUUCUGGUUUUACUUUCACUCUUGGCCGACCCCCUCUCUCUCCCAAACCCUCUUAUUAUUUCAAAGUUGAAUUUGAAGAAAAGCUUGGUUCUUAGCUUGUUUUGGAGCUUUGAAGUUGUGAAUUCUUGAGCUUGGAGUUGAGGAUUACCGGCACCUGGUCAGGAGCACCCGGGGAUUUGGAAUCUCUACUAUUGCGGGACAACAGGAAAGGGUAAGGCAUUAGCUGAUCAGCCAUGAGUUUCAGGAGCAGGGCGAAGAAUGUACAUGUUCAUGCCACUUCAGACCAAGCGGGUUAUGGGUCUAACAGUGUUGACUUUUGUAUUCUGUUUUGCCGCUUAGGUCGGCUAGUAAGAAAGAACUUGUAAUAAGUUUGUAAAUAUUUUUGGGAUCCCAACUAUUUUGAAAAGUUUAAAUAUAUUACAAGUUUAUUUUCAGUCUGUUUAAUAUAAAAGUUUAAAUUUUGCGCUA